CAGGAUUUCAGAAGAAGUGCCAUGGAGAUCUUUUUUCAUCCCUUUUUUACUUGAACCCUUCACAGGGCUAAGGGUACAACCGGUGAAUGUUUUCAGCCCUGGCUGCUGGAACCAAAAGACCUGACUCAUGAUUCAAGCUACAGAAAGUGUCUGGAUCAGCCACAACUACAGCUACUUUAUUUUCUGACAAAAAGAAAUGCUCCUUCUGCUUCGUACCUGAUGCUACCAGCUCUACCAAAAUAGCUGUGAAGGUUGCUC
rnacentral:lncRNA from 1 species